rnacentral:tRNA from 1 species
GGAGAUGGAUGGAGCCUGGUGGCUCCCGCGGCCUUCAAAGCCGUUGUGAGGCGCGCAGAACGUCUCGGGUGCGUUCGAUUCGCAUGCAUCUCCGCCA